rnacentral:rRNA from 1 species
AUAUCAAUAAGCGGAGGAAAAGAAACUAACAAGGAUUCCCCUAGUAACGGCGAGUGAAGCGGGAUGAGCUCAAAUUUAAAAUCUGGUAGCCUUUGGUUGCCCGAGUUGUAAUCUAGAGAAGCGUUUUCCGUGCUGGACUGUGUACAAGUUUCCUGGAUACGGAACAUCAUAGAGGGUGAGAAUCCCGUCCAUGGUCUCAAGCCUUUCAUUUUGUGAUACGUUUUCUAAGAGUCAGGUUGUUUGGGAAUGCAGCCUAAAAUGGGUGGUAAAUUUCAUCUAAAGCUAAAUAUUGGCGAGAGACCGAUAGCGAACAAGUACCGUGAGGGAAAGAUGAAAAGAACUUUGAAAAGAGAGUUAAAAAGUACGUGAAAUUGUUGAAAGGGAAGCGCUUACAAUCAGACCUGCUUGCAGUUGUUAAUCUAGGCCUUGUGUUUAGUGUAUUCUUCUGUAAUCAGGCCAGUAUCGGUUUAGGCGGUUGGAUAAAGAUUUUAGGAAUGUAGCUCUCUUCGGGGAGUGUUAUAGCCUAAUUUGCAAUGCAACCAGCCUAGAUCGAGGACCGCGCUUCGGCUAGGAUACUGGCGUAAUGGUUGUAAGCGG